rnacentral:rRNA from 1 species
AUACGGAGGGGACUAGCGUUGUUCGGAAUUACUGGGCGUAAAGCGCGCGCAGGCGGCUAUUUAAGUUGGAUGUGAAAGCCUACGGCUCAACCGUAGAACUGCAUCCAAAACUAUUUAGCUAGAGUGUGGGAGAGGAAGAUGGAAUUAGUUGUGUAGGGGUAAAAUCCGUAGAGAUAACUAGGAAUACCAAAAGCGAAGGCAAUCUUCUGGAACACUACUGACGCUGAGGCGCGAAAGCGUGGGGAGCAAACGGGAUUAGAAACCCUAGUAGUCC